rnacentral:rRNA from 1 species
AGCUCCAAUAGCGUAUAUUAAAGUUGUUGCAGUUAAAAAGCUCGUAGUUGGAUUUCUGGUUUGGACGUCCGGUCCGCUUACUAUGUAAGUGCGUACUAUGGAUGUUUGGAUCAUUUUUUGUGAGGAAAUUCUUCUGCCAUUAAGUUGGUGGUUUUAUGGACUCGCAUCGUUUACUGUGAAAAAAUUAGAGUGUUUAAAGCAGGCGUUUGCUCAUUUGAAUACAUUAGCAUGGAAUAAUAAGAUACGACCUUGGUGGUCUAUUUUGUUGGUUUGCACGCCAGGGUAAUGAUUAAUAGGGACAGUUGGGGGUAUUUAUAUUUCAGCGUCAGAGGUGAAAUUCUUGGAUCGCUGAAAGAUAAGCUUAGGCGAAAGCAUUUACCAAGGAUGUUUUCA